GGAAUAUUGGACAAUGGGCGAAAGCCUGAUCCAGCCAUGCCGCGUGUGUGAAGAAGGUCUUCGGAUUGUAAAGCACUUUAAGUUGGGAGGAAGGGCAUUAACCUAAUACGUUGGUGUCUUGACGUUACCGACAGAAUAAGCACCGGCUAACUCUGUGCCAGCAGCCGCGGUAAUACAGAGGGUGCAAGCGUUAAUCGGAAUUACUGGGCGUAAAGCGCGCGUAGGUGGUUUGUUAAGUUGAAUGUGAAAUCCCCGGGCUCAACCUGGGAACUGCAUCCAAAACUGGCAAGCUAGAGUAUGGUAGAGGGUAGUGGAAUUUCCUGUGUAGCGGUGAAAUGCGUAGAUAUAGGAAGGAACACCAGUGGCGAAGGCGACUACCUGGACUGAUACUGACACUGAGGUGCGAAAGCGUGGGGAGCAAACAGGAUUAGAUACCCCAG
rnacentral:rRNA from 1 species